GACCUGGCCGUGUGGUCCGCCUUCGGGUGUGUACUGCUCGGUUGGGCCUUACCCUCUCGGUGAGCCGGCAUGCCCUUCACUGGGUGUGUCGGGGAACCGGGACGUUUACUUUGAGAAAAUUAGAGUGUUCAAAGCGGGGCAUUGCCCGAAUACAUUAGCAUGGAAUAAUAAAAUAGGACGGCAUGGUUCUAUUUUGUUGGUUUCUAGGAUCACCGUA
rnacentral:rRNA from 1 species